AUCAGUUUUCCAUUCAUCACUGGCCCUGUUUUAACCCUGCUGAAAAAGGGCCUAAUGUACGCGGCAGUGAUGGCAAUUAGGCAGAAAAGUAAUAUUAGAAACAGACAAAAGCCUGAGUCUUUUAGCAUUACAGGUGUUGGUUUUUUUUUUUUUUUUUUUUUUUUUAGCCCUUCCUAGACAUAAAGGAAUAGGCAGUGUUGUUAAGUUCCCUUCUUCUGUCUUCUCUUAAGCUGAAAGUCCAACGAUUUCAAGAUUCAAUUAAUUAGAGACGUGGAGAGCCAAAGAACAAGGUACCUGCAUGUAGUGCUUGUGGGGGUUUGCUGAAAAUGUUGUCAGCAAGUGAACCAAUUCAUCAAAAGCACAUCCAUUCAGGUAUUUAUCGCCAAGGCUUCUGAGUGCCUGUCACACCUUCCGUUUUAAGAUUUGGGCAACGAGAGACCAUGGCAUCACCAAGUCAGCCUCUACUAGUGAGUUUCAUAUGGAGGUCCGGCUGCAAAUUAAACCUGCCCUGCCUUAAUAGAACCUGUGGACAGGGGAAUUGCUGCAAAUACUGCAUGCCCUCCCAUGAGCUGAAUACUCCUGGAAUGCAGCCAACUCCACUGGCACAGGAGAUCUUACCCCAUAUGGAAAUGAAAAGCUGAAAAGUGUCCUUUUUAAAAAAAAAAGAAGAAGAAAAGAAACAAAAAGAAAAACUUUUAAUCUGG